rnacentral:lncRNA from 1 species
GGGGGAAUGAAUUUAGGAAGGCAUUAAGAUUGGUAUGGUUACUAACCUUGAAGCAUUACAGGCCACUAACAAGGCUUUACAGUCUGGUGGCACGUCCAAGAAGAAGGAUGUUAGUGUCGUGAUAGUCGUACAGAGAACAAAAUCCCUGAUAAAAUACCACAUUUACCCAUCACCUCCACUUACAUAUCAGCCUACCCCCAAUUUCCAAAC